rnacentral:lncRNA from 1 species
GAUCCACCUGCCUCAGCCCAAAGUGCUUGGAUUGCAGGUGUGAGUCACCGCACCUGGCCUAAUUUUUGUAUUUUUAGUAGAGAUGAGGUCUUGCCAUAUUGCCCAGCCUAGUCUCGAAUUCCUGGGCUCAAGCCAUCCACCCACCUCGGCCUCCCAAAGUGCUGGGAUUACAGGUCUAAGGGUAAUUCUGCCUCCUCUUCAUUAUUCACUAUCUUCAAAAAAGAUAUUCUGAAAUUGUUUAACAGUUCCUUAAACAGUUCAAUAUAAAUUACUAUAUGACUAAACAAUCCCUCUCAUGGGUAUCUAUCCAAGAGAAAUGAAAACGGAUGACUACACAAAUAACUGUAUAUGGAUGUUCAUAUCAGCAUUCUUCAUAAUAGUCAAAACUGGAAACCAUUCAAGUACCCAUCAGCUGGCAAAUGGAUAAACAAAAUGUGGUACAUCCAUACAAUGGAAUGCGACUCAGCAACACACAGGAACACAUUCCUGAACAUGCUACAACAUGGAACAAACCUCACGGUAUGCUGAGAGAGAUCAGACACAAAUGACUACAUUGUGAGGCCGGGCACGGUGGCUGAAAGAUAAAUUUAAUAUAAAAGGUUUAGAUAGUAGGUAAUAAAAGUACUCCCCUUAUUAUUUUCCAAAGGUAGCAUCCAUAGAGAGAGUUGCAUUUUCAAUCAAUUCGUGGACAGAUCUGAAAUAAGGUUAUUGAGAGAAAUCAAGAAUGACUGAAGGCACAUCUUAUUUUAGGAAGAACAUUGUAGCAGGCAAAAUGUGUGCCCAUGAGAGGCAGUGUAGAGUUGGAUGGGUUGAGGGGAGUCCAGAGUCCAGGUGGCACUAUCUAUGUAUUAAGAUUCUGUUUUCUGGCCAGGCGCAGUGGCUCAUGCCUGUAAUCCCGGCGAUUUGGGAGGCCCAGGUGGGUGGAUAACCUGAGGUCAGGAGUUUGAGACCAGCCUGACCAACACGGCAAAACCCCGUCUCUGCUAAAAAUACAAAAAUUAGCUGGGCAUGGUGAUGCACGCCUGUAAUCCCAGCUACUCUGGAGGCUGAGGCAGGAGAAUCGCUUGAACCCAGGAGGCAAAGUUUGCAGUGAGCCAAGAUCAUGCCACU